rnacentral:rRNA from 1 species
UACGUAAGGGGCAAGCGUUAUCCGGAUUUACUGGGUGUAAAGGGAGCGUAGACGGCAUGGCAAGUCUGAUGUGAAAACCCGGGGCUCAACCCCGGGCCUGCAUUGGAAACUGCCAGGCUGGAGUGCAGGAGAGGUAAGUGGAAUUCCUAGUGUAGCGGUGAAAUGCGUAGAUAUUAGGAGGAACACCAGUGGCGAAGGCGGCUUACUGGACUGUAACUGACGUUGAGGCUCGAAAGCGUGGGGAGCAAACAGG